GUUGAUCGCCGCGCUCGCCCCGGCCACGGCGCCGCCCCUGUUCUCCCGGCCCCGCUCCACCGGGGCUGACGGACUGACGGCCAGCACAGCCGGCUCCGGGAUGAGCGCACGGACGGGUGAGCGCCCCGGGGGGCGGGUGGGGCCUGUUCUGGACAGCCGGUGUCUGCAGCCCCCGGGCCCGCAGCGCGGUGGCCGCCGUGCCCUCCCUGCCCGCGGGAGGAUGCUCCGCGACAUGGGCGGUCGGCCGGGCGGGCGUGCAGAGCCGGGCCGCCUCUCGCCUCUCGCCUCCCGGCCCGGUCGGCUGCGCCGGGAGACCAGGCGCUGCGCCCGGGCGGGAGGCGCCCGCCGGGGUGUGAGUCCCGCGCCCCGCACUGCGGUGCCGCAGCCUCUGCAGCCCGCUGGGCCGCAGCGGGGAGGGCGCGGUCUCCUGUCCUCCCGGGCUGCGGGGCUGUGUUCUUCCACUCCGGGCUUUGUUCCCCCACUUUUCCCCUUCCUGUGCAUGUUUGGUGAGCUCCUGGAGCGGUAUGCAUCUCCCUGCCUCGUUCAGCAGGCGAUGGGGAGGGGUGGACUGGCCGGCGUCUUUCCUGAGAUCGCUGGAGCUGUCACUCGCAGGGCGUUUCAGCCUCCCAGUAAGCGGCCUCGUGCGGAUCCUCGAGAACCUUAUUAUUAUUGUUAUUACUUUUCUGGUUAAAGUAAUUGUAGUAUGUGCUCCCUUGAGGCUUCCUAAAUGUUCCCUGUUGACCUGCGGAAAUGAAGGUGGAUUUUUAAAACAGUAAUAAAAGGCUUCUAAUGGGAAUUUUUAGAGUAUUCAGAGGUAGGAAGGUGAUGCCGUCACAAUGCAAAUUAGCAGUGAAGGAGGCCGUGCUUACUGCAGCUUCGUCUGUGCCCAUUACAUAUCUGAAUCACGAGGCAUUUAGGACGGGAAUGAAAAGAAGAUCGGGGGAGGUGUUUUAAAAACCAGGUUCUCCUCUUAGCUUGACCAUUCAGGAGCUGAGGGACCUGGGCAAGUCCCUCCACCUCUCUGGGCCUCUGCAUGUAAAGGGGCGUUUGGGCUAAAUGAUUUGUAAACCUCUGUUCUUCCAAGAUUCUCCCCUCUCAGGGAACUGAAAAGAUGAGAGUGUUUCUGUUUAACAGCACUACAAAAAGCCUAAUUGUGACAACAAGCGCCUCUACCCUAGUGAGGAGGAAAGAUUUUUCAGAGCUUCAGCAAUCUGAUUUUUUUUUAAAGAUAAAACUGAUUUUCUCGAUCGACUCUCUUCAGUCUAACCCAAUAAAUACGCAUUGCAAUCAUUUUAAUUUUUGUAAGAUCUUGAUGGGGAAAACAGAGGGAAAGAACACCUAAAACACGAGAUUAUUCCACAACCAAGGACGAAAGAGAAAUAGCUUUGACUGAGGGCUUGCGCUUGCUAGACACUGCGCCUAAUAUGUACAUGGUCACCUUAAGUGUCACCUCAGCCUUCUGAGAUAAG
rnacentral:lncRNA from 1 species